GGAGACGGCUGGAGCUCAGUGGGGAGAGCAUGUGCCUGGCAUGCAGAAGGCUGCAGGCUCAAUCCCCACUGGCAGCGUCUCCA